GACGCGGUAGUGCAGCGGUUAAGUAGGCUUGACUUGGGAUCAACAGGUCCUGAGUUUGAGUCCUUGCCACGGCU